AGAGUUUGAUCCUGGCUCAGGACGAACGCUGGCGGCGUGCCUAAUACAUGCAAGUCGAGCGGAUCUUCAUUAGCUUGCUUUUGAAGAUCAGCGGCGGACGGGUGAGUAACACGUGGGCAACCUGCCUGUAAGACUGGGAUAACUUCGGGAAACCGGAGCUAAUACCGGAUAAUCCUUUCCCUCACAUGAGGGAAAGCUGAAAGACGGUUUCGGCUGUCACUUACAGAUGGGCCCGCGGCGCAUUAGCUAGUUGGUGAGGUAACGGCUCACCAAGGCAACGAUGCGUAGCCGACCUGAGAGGGUGAUCGGCCACACUGGGACUGAGACACGGCCCAGACUCCUACGGGAGGCAGCAGUAGGGAAUCUUCCGCAAUGGACGAAAGUCUGACGGAGCAACGCCGCGUGAGCGAUGAAGGCCUUCGGGUCGUAAAGCUCUGUUGUCAGGGAAGAACAAGUACCGGAGUAACUGCCGGUACCUUGACGGUACCUGACCAGAAAGCCACGGCUAACUACGUGCCAGCAGCCGCGGUAAUACGUAGGUGGCAAGCGUUGUCCGGAAUUAUUGGGCGUAAAGCGCGCGCAGGCGGUUCCUUAAGUCUGAUGUGAAAGCCCCCGGCUCAACCGGGGAGGGUCAUUGGAAACUGGGGAACUUGAGUGCAGAAGAGGAGAGCGGAAUUCCACGUGUAGCGGUGAAAUGCGUAGAGAUGUGGAGGAACACCAGUGGCGAAGGCGGCUCUCUGGUCUGUAACUGACGCUGAGGCGCGAAAGCGUGGGGAGCGAACAGGAUUAGAUACCCUGGUAGUCCACGCCGUAAACGAUGAGUGCUAAGUGUUAGAGGGUUUCCGCCCUUUAGUGCUGCAGCAAACGCAUUAAGCACUCCGCCUGGGGAGUACGGCCGCAAGGCUGAAACUCAAAUGAAUUGACGG
rnacentral:rRNA from 1 species